rnacentral:rRNA from 1 species
UACGUAGGGGGCAAGCGUUGUCCGGAAUUAUUGGGCGUAAAGCGCGUGUAGGCGGCUCGGUAAGUCUGCUGUGAAAGUCCAGGGCUCAACCCUGGAAUGCCGGUGGAUACUGUCGAGCUCGAGUCCGGAAGAGGCGAGUGGAAUUCCGUGGUGUAGCGGUGAAAUGCGCAGAUAUCAGGAGGAACACCAAUGGCGAAGGCAGCUCGCUGGGACGGUACUGACGCUGAGACGCGAAAGCGUGGGGAGCAAACAGG